rnacentral:rRNA from 1 species
GUGCAAUGGCAUAAGCCAGCUUGACUGCGAGCGUGACGGCGCGAGCAGGUGCGAAAGCAGGUCAUAGUGAUCCGGUGGUUCUGAAUGGAAGGGCCAUCGCUCAACGGAUAAAAGGUACUCCGGGGAUAACAGGCUGAUACCGCCCAAGAGUUCAUAUCGACGGCGGUGUUUGGCACCUCGAUGUCGGCUCAUCACAUCCUGGGGCUGAAGUAGGUCCCAAGGGUAUGGCUGUUCGCCAUUUAAAGUGGUACGCGAGCUGGGUUUAGAACGUCGUGAGACAGUUCGGUCCCUAUCUGCCGUGGGCGCUGGAGAACUGAGGGGGGCUGCUCCUAGUACGAGAGGACCGGAGUGGACGCAUCACUGGUGUUCGGGUUGUCAUGCCAAUGGCACUGCCCGGUAGCUAAAUGCGGAAGAGAUAAGUGCUGAAAGCAUCUAAGCACGAAACUUGCCCCGAGAUGAGU